CCUACGGGAGGCAGCAGUGGGGAAUAUUGGACAAUGGGCGAAAGCCUGAUCCAGCCAUGCCGCGUGUGUGAAGAAGGUCUUCGGAUUGUAAAGCACUUUAAGCAGGGAGGAGGGGUACUGGCGUGAAUAGCGUUGGUAUCUGACGUUACCUGCAGAAUAAGCACCGGCUAACUUCGUGCCAGCAGCCGCGGUAAUACAAAGGGUGCAAGCGUUAAUCAGAAUUACUGGGCGUAAAGCGCGUGUAGGCGGUUAUUUAACUCAGAUGUGAAAGCCCCGGGCUCAACCUGGGAAUGGCAUUUGAUACUGGGUAACUGGAAUGUGGUAGAGGGAGGCGGAAUUUCCGGUGUAGCGGUGAAAUGUGUAGAUAUCGGAAAGAACACCAAUGGCGAACGCAGCCUCCUGGGCCAACAUUGACACUCAGACGCGAAAGCGCGGGGAGCACACAGGAUUAAAUACCCUGGUAGUCCACGCCCUAAACAAUCAGAACUAGACGGUGGGGAGGUCACUCUUCGCUGUUGAAGCUAACGCGUUAAGUUCUCCGCCUGGGGAGUACGGCCGCAAGGUUGAAACUCAAAUGAAUUGACGG
rnacentral:rRNA from 1 species